rnacentral:misc_RNA from 1 species
CUGAGUUAGGGUCUUCCAGGCCCGACCUCCAACCCUUUGCCUACCUUACCUCUUGUUGCUUCGGCCGGCCCGUCCCCCCUAGACAUAGGGGUCGACCGCCGGAGGGCUCACGCCCUCUGGCCCGCGCCGGCCGAUGGCCUCCAACCAAAACUCUUGUUCAAUCGUGAAUUGUCUGAGUACAAAAACCAAAAUAAACCAA